AUUGCGUAAUACUAAAGACACGACACCGGAAUACGACAAUAUUAGGAUCAAUGAAAUCUGCAUCACUGCUCAAGUAAAGAUAAUCAUCACCAGCUUCAUGUAUCAUAUUGGACACAAUGGAUACGAUCAGACUUGACUGUAUUCCUGAUUCUUAUAUGACAAGGGACGCUUACUGGAAAAAUGUGGUCCAGACGAAAAGGCAGAUGUCGUUUGCAGUUAAAAAGCUGUUACGAGCAUCCACCCAACACCGAAUAUCUGAGCUCGAGAUCACAUGAUGCAUUUUGUGGUACGAUGUGGCUAAUAACAACAACGGGUAGAUAUCAAGUUGGAAACGAGUAGACAUCACUGAAUGUCUGAUGUGAAGGUCACAAGGGGCGCGUCCUGACAGCUUGUGGUCCGGGGUUGUCCGGCAUGAACCUAAAGCAAAGGUGUAGCUGUAUGAUGUCAAGGUAUGGUCUACUUAGCCAUUAAUCAGCGCUGUUGAUAAAUGACAGACCACCCUGAACUCAAUCCUUCCAGGAAAUGACUUUGGGACCUCAAUGUAAAGGAUACAGUGUGUCGUUUUCUCACUGGUAGGUGAAAUACUGGAGACACGACAUCAUCAUAUGGUCGAGAUUCGACAUGCCAAAAAUAAUCGUGGUUGUCUCCCUUUGACCGCUGUGAUUGUCAUAUUAUGCAGUUUAAGGACAAGCAGGAACUGGUUGCAGUAAAAAGCAAUGAGGGUAUGCAAAUGCGUGCAGACGGUCUAUAAUGUAACCCUGAUCUAGAACUUACAAAGGGCUCUGUCUUGUAGGAUGUGAUCCUGUGAUGUCCAGCAAGUAUUAGAACAGCAGUAAAAUCUCUUAGUAAUUCAUUUUAACCACAGUUUUGCUUUAAACAAGUGUCUCUGUGGCAUUAAAGAAUGAUCAGCAGUUUGAUUGCAUCAAUAUGAGUAUCUAAAUACGUGUUUGCCAAGACAAUAAAACAUUAAACACACUAAACUUAUUUUCAAUAGACGUACUGUUAAUAAUUGAUCAAAUCUUGUCAGGCUCUUUUUUGUCUUUUGCAAUACCGCAAAUAUGUAAUCGUUAAUUAUCCUUUACUUAACUGGUUUGUCUGGGCACUGGCUACUUGAAAUUUCAUGACUGCGCACCAACGAUAUUUCAUAGAUAUUUAUUUUGAGGUAUGUCAAACUGAUUCAGAGGAUCAAAACAAUAAGGGCUAACAUUUACUUGCCUGGCAUAUUUAUAUUUUGUUUGCAUUAAGAGGAAGUACAACAGCAAAUUGUAUUCUGAUCCCUGUUGGGCUGUUUAGGUUUAAACACGGGUAAAUGCGGGCUGGGUUAUAUUUGAAGUUUCGACUACUGGGCUUGUCACUGUAGUUUUCAUUGUAUAAUUGAUGUGUUGUUUGUCAUCCUUUAUAUAUUUCAUAAUCCUUGGUUCCUUUGUAUUUAACUCAGCUUAGUAGAUGUUUGAGGCUUCACAAUUUAUUGUUUCAUAAAAAUUAAUCAUAAGUGCAUUUUUUCUCCUUGAGAAAGAGGAAUAUGACUUCCCCCCACUAAAUACCUGAUAUGAAGAUCACAUGGGACUUUUCCUGGCAGGAUAUAGUCCUUGGUUGUCCAGCAAAUACCAGAAUUACAGGUAGAUAUCUCUAUACAUGUGAUAAAUUUGGGCAACGACUUAUUUUAAAACAGUAACCUGUGGGGCUUUUAUAUCAUAUGUCAUUUGCCUAUUUGUUAAUCAUGGGGUUAAGGUGUACACAAUUGUUUGGAAUUGUCUUUAUUACUAAAAUGCUGUAUUGUUCACGAAAAAGGUCAUAUUGAAGUGUCAGGUACGCCGCCUCCUACUGCAGGAGAAGGAAUUGACAGCGGGAGCUGCCAAACACAACAACUUUCAUUUCAUUAAAACAUUUGACCUAAUGGCAAUAUUUCGUUUAAUGAGUUUGUGAACACCUUUCGUAAGUAUUUGUCUUUAUCGCUUCAAGAUUUCGCCAUAUUUGAUUACAGAUAAAGUUUUAUAAAGAGUAAAUGCCGGAUUGAUGAAUGAACGUUUUUAUUGUAGCAACAUCUAAUAAAAGACUAUUCAAAUAUCUUGGGCUAAUCAAAUUUAAUUUCAUUGUUGUCUUGCCUUUAUGUUCGGCUGCUGAUAACUUUUAGAGACGAAAAUUUAUCACGUUGGAGACAAUGGAACAUAAUUUCAUUAAUGAAAGAUUAUUAAAGUUUUCACAUUAUUGUUGCUUUUUUGACAGACUGGUAGGUGAUAAGCCGGAUACACAACAUCAAAAUGUGAACGACAUUCGAUUCAUCAAAAUAUAUAACAGUGAUCUCCCUUUGACCGCUGUGAUUAGCAUAGGACAAAAAUGCAGUUUUAGGGGAAGAGGUACUAGUUGCAGGUUCGACUAAAUACCUGCUAAACGGGGCAAGGGGGUUGAUUCGGUGUAGUAUAUCUCUCUUAACAUUGUUUUAACCAAACUGAAAUUGUCUUAAAAUUGCCAAUAUUACAAAUUCUAGCUCGAAAUUGAUGAAAAUAAACCCAUAAGGCUUUACGUUAUUAAACGAGCUAAUUGAACGGGUCAUUAAUGAGCAACUGAUCAUUAUUCACAUUAAUUUAUGUUUUUAUUCUCUCCUGACAGCUUUCAGAACAACAUAUAUAUGUUAAAAUACUCAGUGAGGGUGAUGGAUGACCCUUGGAAAAAGCCCGUGAUGAGAUCAAAUAUGUCGGUCCAGCUUUAAUGAUCCUCCCAAAAGCAUUUGACUGCUUGCCCUUUCAUCCUCUUAGACAAGCUUAAUGACAAUUGUUUAUUUAGCCCAAGGAACUUUUAUUUCCAGUUCACCAGUUUCUGUUUAAGUUUGCUUAUGUUAUGUGUGUUUGUUUCUCAUGUCAGAGAAUAGCUCAUUGAGCUUACGUUUCUUGUUAUGACAAACCCGACUUUAAAUAAAGUUUCUUGUAUGAUUGAUUUGAUUUCAUACCUUAAUAUUUACCCUAUGUCACGUGCCGAUUAAGUUAAGUUUAUAUGAAUUGAACUGAUGUGUAUGCGAUUGGAUCUUAAGUGCAACUGGUUUUUUCAGGAAGGCCAAUACGCCAAGAUGUUCAAAACUGAAUCACUGAACAGGAAGUCACAUGAGAAAUGCCUGCAACGAUGUUGUUCCAGCAGUUAUGCCAAGACUUGCAAGACGUAUCGCAAUGAAAAAAGGCUUUUGCUGGAAGGAUUUUAUCCUGUUAUGUCCAGCAUUUAUAAUUAUAAUUUGUAAUUCAUUUUGGUCAAAGGAUUGCUUCUUACGACUUCCUCUGUAUUAUAAAAGAUUUAAAAAUUACAAUAUCCUUUACAUGUGUUACACACUUGAGCGUAGAUUAUAACACUAUGUUAACAGAACUAUUGAACAUAUUCUUGGAUUAACAUGUAUUAUGAACGAGAAUGACCAAACACAACUAAUAAAUGGUAGAAAAUUUGUCAUGACAAUAUGUAAAACACUGUAAAUUUUACCUGGCUUGUACUUAAUAUUAAUUUAACUGUUAAUUCAUCUGAAUAUGUAUUUUGUUUGAAUAAGUGAGAUGUAUUUAGAACGCUUAUAGUCUGAUGAACGCCCUCUAAUUAUCCUGUAUUACAUAUGUAAUAUGCAUUACAUGUAUGUACAACUUUUCUCAUACUGUAUGUUUUGCCUGAACAAUA